CCUACGGGAGGCAGCAGUGAGGAAUAUUGGUCAAUGGACGCAAGUCUGAACCAGCCAUGCCGCGUGCAGGAUGACGGCUCUAUGAGUUGUAAACUGCUUUUGUACGAGGGUAAACCCCGAUACGUGUAUCGGGUUGCAAGUAUCGUACGAAUAAGGAUCGGCUAACUCCGUGCCAGCAGCCGCGGUAAUCCGGAGGCUCCGAGCGUUAUCCGGAUUUAUUGGGUUUAAAGGGUGCGUAGGCGGUUUGACAAGUUAGAGGGAAAAUGUCGGGGCUCAACCCCGAAACUGCCUCUAAUACUGGUGGACUAGAGAAUAGUUGCGGUAGGCGGAAUGUAUGGUGUAGCGGUGAAAUGCUUAGAGAUCAUACAGAACACCGAUUGCGAAGGCAGCAUACCAAACUAUAUCUGACGUUGAGGCACGAAAGCGUGGGUAGCAAACAGGAUUAGAUACUUGUAGUC
rnacentral:rRNA from 1 species